CUGAAAUUCUAAUUAAACUACUCCUUGA
rnacentral:tRNA from 1 species